UUUUAAAAUGAGAGUUUGAUCCUGGCUCAGGACGAACGCUGGCGGCGUGCCUAAUACAUGCAAGUCGAGCGAGCGAAACUAACAGAUUUACUUCGG
rnacentral:rRNA from 1 species